rnacentral:rRNA from 1 species
AUUGAACGCUGGCGGCAUGCUUUACACAUGCAAGUCGAACGGCAGCGCGGGCUACGGCCUGGCGGCGAGUGCCGAACGGGUAAGUAAUGCAAAUGAACGGGCCCAGGCGUGGUGGAUAGGGCGGAGGAAGCCGGAUUAAUACCACAACCGAACUUAGGGUGAGAGCGGGGGAACGAAAGGCUUCGCGCUAUUGGUGCGGCCGAUGUCGGAUUAGCUAGUUGGUGGGGUAAAGGCUUACCAAGGCAACGAUCCGUAGCUGGUCUGAGAGGACGACCAGCCACACUGGGACUGAGACACGGCCCAGACUCCUACGGGAGGCAGCAGUGGGGAAUUUUGGACAAUGGGGGCAACCCUGAUCCAGCCAUGCCGCGUGCGUGAAGAAGGCCUUCGGGUUGUAAACCGCUUUUGUUCGGGAAGAAAUCCUCUGGGCUAAUACCCCGGGUGGAUGACGGUACCGGAAGAAUAAGCACCGGCUAACUACGUG